GACGAACGCUGGCGGCAUGCCUUACACAUGCAAGUCGAGCGAAUGGAUUAAGAGCUUGCUCUUAUGAAGUUAGCGGCGGACGGGUGAGUAACACGUGGGUAACCUGCCCAUAAGACUGGGACAACUCCGGGAAACCGGGGCUAAUACCGGAUAACAUUUUGAACCGCAUGGUUCGAAAUUGAAAGGCGGCUUCGGCUGUCGCUUAUGGAUGGACCCGCGUCGCAUUAGCUAGUUGGUGAGGUAACGGCUCACCAAGGCAACGAUGCGUAGCCGACCUGCGAGGGUGAUCGGCCACACUGGGACUGAGACACGGCCCAGACUCCUACGGGAGGCGGCAGUAGGGAAUCUUCCGCAAUGGACGAAAGUCUGACGGAGCAACGCCGCGUGAGUGAUGAAGGCUUUCGGGUCGUAAAACUCUGUUGUUAGGGAAGAACAAGUGCUAGUUGAAUAAGCUGACACCUUGACGGUACCUAACCAGAAAGCCACGGCUAACUACGUGCCAGCCGCCGCAGUAA
rnacentral:rRNA from 1 species